rnacentral:rRNA from 1 species
UGCCAGCCGCCGCGGUAACACGGGGGGCGCAAGCGUUAUUCGGAAUUAUUGGGCGUAAAGGGCGCGUAGGCGGCCUUGUCGGUCAGGUGUGAAAGCCCGGGGCUCAACCCCGGACGUGCAUCCGAUACUGCGAAACUAGAAUCCCGGAGGGGGUGGCGGAAUUCCUGGUGUAGAGGUGAAAUUCGUAGAUAUCAGGAGGAACACCUGUGGCGAAGGCGGCCACCUGGACGGGUAUUGACGCUGAGACGCGAAAGCGUCGGUAGCAAACAGGAUUAGAUA